AUACGAAGGGUGCAAGCGUUACUCGGAAUUACUGGGCGUAAAGCGUGCGUAGGUGGUUGUUUAAGUCUGUCGUGAAAGCCCUGGGCUCAACCUGGGAAUGGCGAUGGAAACUGGGCGACUAGAGUGUGGCAGAGGGUAGUGGAAUUCCUGGUGUAGCAGUGAAAUGCGUAGAGAUCAGGAGGAACAUCCGUGGCGAAGGCGACUGCCUGGGCCAAAAAUGAAUCUGAGGCACGAAAGCGUGGGGAGCAAAAAGGAUUAGAUACCCUGGUAGACCACGCCCUAAACGAUGCGAACUGGAUGUUGGGUGCAAUUUGGCACGCAGUAUCGAAGCUAAAGCGUUAAGUUCGCCGCCUGGGGAGUACGGUCGCAAGACUGAAACUCAAAUGAAUUGACGGGG
rnacentral:rRNA from 1 species